AGGACGAACGCUGGCGGCGUGCCUAACACAUGCAAGUCGAACGAUGAAACCGCUUCGGUGGUGGAUUAGUGGCGAACGGGUGAGUAACACGUGGGCAAUCUGCCCUUCACUCUGGGACAAGCCCUGGAAACGGGGUCUAAUACCGGAUAAUACUCCUGCCUGCAUGGGUGGGGGUUGAAAGCUCCGGCGGUGAAGGAUGAGCCCGCGGCCUAUCAGCUUGUUGGUGGGGUAAUGGCCUACCAAGGCGACGACGGGUAGCCGGCCUGAGAGGGCGACCGGCCACACUGGGACUGAGACACGGCCCAGACUCCUACGGGAGGCAGCAGUGGGGAAUAUUGCACAAUGGGCGAAAGCCUGAUGCAGCGACGCCGCGUGAGGGAUGACGGCCUUCGGGUUGUAAACCUCUUUCAGCAGGAAAGAAGCGCAAGUGACGGUACCUGCAGAAGAAGCGCCGGCUAACUACGUG
rnacentral:rRNA from 1 species